UACGGAGGGGGCUAGCGUUGUUCGGAAUUACUGGGCGUAAAGCGCGCGUAGGCGGAUUGGCAAGUCAGGGGUGAAAUCCCGAGGCUCAACCUCGGAACGGCCUUUGAUACUGCGGAUCUCGAGUCCGAGAGAGGUGAGUGGAAUUCCUAGUGUAGAGGUGAAAUUCGUAGAUAUUAGGAAGAACACCAGUGGCGAAGGCGGCUCACUGGCUCGGUACUGACGCUGAGGCGCGAAAGCGUGGGGAGCAAACAGG
rnacentral:rRNA from 1 species